rnacentral:rRNA from 1 species
GACGAACGCUGGCGGCGUGCUUAACACAUGCAAGUCGAACGGAAAGGCCCUGCUUUUGUGGGGUGCUCGAGUGGCGAACGGGUGAGUAACACGUGAGUAACCUGCCCUUGACUUUGGGAUAACUUCAGGAAACUGGGGCUAAUACCGGAUAGGAGCUCCUGCUGCAUGGUGGGGGUUGGAAAGUUUCGGCGGUUGGGGAUGGACUCGCGGCUUAUCAGCUUGUUGGUGGGGUAGUGGCUUACCAAGGCUUUGACGGGUAGCCGGCCUGAGAGGGUGACCGGCCACAUUGGGACUGAGAUACGGCCCAGACUCCUACGGGAGGCAGCAGUGGGGAAUAUUGCACAAUGGGCGGAAGCCUGAUGCAGCAACGCCGCGUGGGGGAUGACGGCCUUCGGGUUGUAAACCGCUUUCGCCGGUGACGAAGCGUGAGUGACGGUAAUGGGUAAAGAAGCACCGGCUAACUACGUG